UCUUGGUCAUUUAGAGGAAGUAAAAGUCGUAACAAGGUCUCCGUUGGUGAACCAGCGGAGGGAUCAUUACUGAGUUUUUGUACUCUAUAAACCAUGUGUGAACGUACCCUAUCUUGUAGUGAGAUGAAUGCUGUUUUGGUGGUAGGGCCCUUCUGAAGAGAGGGCACCGCUGCCAGCAGUAUUAGUCUUCGCCACUGUAAACUCUUUUUAUUAUUUUCUAGAUUUUUCAUUGCUGAGUGGCAUAACUAUAAAAAAAGUUAAAACUUUCAACAACGGAUCUCUUGGCUCUAGCAUCGAUGAAGAACGCAGCGAAAUGCGAUAAGUAAUGUGAAUUGCAGAAUUCAGUGAAUCAUCGAAUCUUUGAACGCACAUUGCGCCUGGCAGUAUUCUGCCAGGCAUGCCUGUCCGAGCGUCAUUUCACCACUCAAGACUCUUUUGUUCUUGGCGUUGGAGGUCCUGUUCUCCCCUGAACAGGCCGCCGAAAUGUAUCGGCUGUUAUACUUGCCAACUCCCCUGUGUAGUAUAAAAUUUCUAAUUUUUACACUUUGAAGUUCUUGUGUAACACGCCGCUAAACCCGCUCAACUUUUGUUGAACUUUUCACAAGGUUGACCUCGGAUCAGGUAGGAAUACCCGCUGAACUUAAGCAUAUCAAUAAGCGGAGGAA
rnacentral:rRNA from 1 species